GACGAACGCUGGCGGCGUGUUUAACACAUGCAAGUCGAGCGAUGAAGCUCCUUCGGGAGCGGAUUAGUGGCGGACGGGUGAGUAACACGUGGGUAACCUGCCUCAUAGAGGGGAAUAGCCUUUCGAAAGGAAGAUUAAUACCGCAUAAGAUUGUAGUGCCGCAUGGCAUAGCAAUUAAAGGAGUAAUCCGCUAUGAGAUGGACCCGCGUCGCAUUAGCUAGUUGGUGAGGUAACGGCUCACCAAGGCGACGAUGCGUAGCCGACCUGAGAGGGUGAUCGGCCACAUUGGGACUGAGACACGGCCCAGACUCCUACGGGAGGCAGCAGUGGGGAAUAUUGCACAAUGGGGGAAACCCUGAUGCAGCAACGCCGCGUGAGUGAUGACGGUCUUCGGAUUGUAAAGCUCUGUCUUCAGGGACGAUAAUGACGGUACCUGAGGAGGAAGCCACGGCUAACUACGUGCCAGCCGCCGCGGUAA
rnacentral:rRNA from 1 species